rnacentral:rRNA from 1 species
UACGUAGGGUGCGAGCGUUAAUCGGAAUUACUGGGCGUAAAGCGUGCGCAGGCGGUGAUUUAAGUCAGAUGUGAAAGCCCCGGGCUUAACCUGGGAACUGCGUUUGAAACUGGAUCGCUGGAGUUUAGCAGAGGGGGGGUAGAAUUCCACGUGUAGCAGUGAAAUGCGUAGAGAUGUGGAGGAACACCGAUGGCGAAGGCAGCCCCCUGGGCUAGAACUGACGCUCAUGCACGAAAGCGUGGGGAGCAAACAGG